UACGGAGGGUGCGAGCGUUGUCCGGAAUCACUGGGCGUAAAGGGCGCGUAGGUGGCCCGGUAAGGUUGCGGUGAAAGCCCGGGGCUCAACCCCGGGUCGGCCGUGGCAACUGCUGGGCUGGAGCACAGUAGAGGCGGGUGGAAUUCCGGGUGUAGCGGUGGAAUGCGUAGAGAUCCGGAAGAACACCGGUGGCGAAGGCGGCCCGCUGGGCUGUUGCUGACGCUGAGGCGCGACAGCGUGGGGAGCAAACAGG
rnacentral:rRNA from 1 species